AGUGAACGCUGGCGGCAGGCCUAACACAUGCAAGUCGAGCGGCAGCGCGUCCGACCACCCUCGGGUGGUCGGAUGGCGGCGAGCGGCGGACGGGUGAGGAAUGCAUCGGAAUCUGCCUCGUUGUGGGGGAUAACGUAGGGAAACUUACGCUAAUACCGCAUACGACCUACGGGUGAAAGUGGGGGACCUUCGGGCCUCACGCGAUGAGAUGAGCCGAUGCCGGAUUAGCUAGUUGGCGGGGUAAAGGCCCACCAAGGCGACGAUCCGUAGCUGGUCUGAGAGGAUGAUCAGCCACACUGGAACUGAGACACGGUCCAGACUCCUACGGGAGGCAGCAGUGGGGAAUUUUGGACAAUGGGGGCGAACCCUGAUCCAGCCAUGCCGCGUGAGUG
rnacentral:rRNA from 1 species